UACGUAGGGGGCAAGCGUUGUCCGGAAUCAUUGGGCGUAAAGCGAGCGUAGGCGGCCCGAUAAGUCUGCUGUGAAAGUCAACGGCUCAACCGUUGAAAGCCGGUGGAUACUGUCGGGCUAGAGUUCGGAAGAGGCAAGUGGAAUUCCUGGUGUAGCGGUGGAAUGCGCAGAUAUCAGGAGGAACACCCAUAGCGAAGGCAGCUUGCUGGGACGGUACUGACGCUGAGACGCGAAAGCGUGGGGAGCAAACAGG
rnacentral:rRNA from 1 species